CGGGGGCGCGCGGCCGCCAAGGGGGGCGCUCGCGCCUCCACUCCCUGCUCUCAAAGGAGAGAUCAGCUGGCGCGCCGGACCCUCGCGGGGACUCUGGAGGCGAAAUCCAGGACAAAUGCAGGGUCAGGGUCUGGCCUCUUAUUUCCCCGCUGGGCCCGUUAUUCAACUUUCAGUUUGAAGUUUUUCGCUCAGAGGCAGGCGAUUAGCAGCUCAGAGGAAGGUAAAAUAACGCACUGUGUGAACCAAGCAUACAGGACAAUUCCAGUUUGGGACCUUGGAACCUUCUACGCCACCCUCUUCCACCAGGCCCCCAAGAAGUAGGGCUGUGACACGUGGCCAAGUCACUCCUCAGCUGAAUAUUCACUGAAGUCACUCCUCAGCCGAAAUACUGCUCAGAGCUGCUGCACGAUGAGUCUGGGGCCAAGGCUUUCUGCCCUUCCCAGGAUUCCAGGAGCCCCCAUGCACAGCACCUCGGGCUUGCCCAAAUGAUCCCCAAAACCAAGGGCAGAAAAUUUUUGGAAAAGGCCAAGUUCUGCUUUCCCAGAGCUAUCGGGCCUGCGAAACAGAGAGAAAAAAGUCAGAAGCAGGAGCUGAUUUCAAAAACAAAACAAAACAAAACUUCAAUGAGAUUUAAGUAGCUUUUAAAGAGGAGGAAAAGUUGAUAACUAUUGGAUGCACCCGAAGAAAAAAUAAAUAAAUAUCCUGUGAUGACCUCAAGGAUGUCUUGCAGCUUUAGAACUUCAUAACCUGAGAUGGCUGCCCUCUUGUGGUGGAAAUGAGUUCGAACGCUUGAAAGAAAGAAGUCCAUAAAUAAAUAAAUAAAUAAAUAAGUAGUCUCCAGAGACUGAUUUGGGAUCGAAGUACAGGAUGACUGUACCUACCCGUUUUCCAGGGAAGAGCAAUAGUCAGAAAUGAUAAAUCUAAAUACAGACGAGCUAUUUCUUUUUUUUUUCUCUCUCUUCACUAAUGGCUACCUUCCACCUGCAACUUAGAAUGCUGGGUUAUUUAAUACUUUGGGAGAGUGUCUGUUUGCCUUGAAAAUAUCACUUGCAGCUAACCAUUGUCAAUUCUACCGUUUUCAAAGGUCCAUUCAAAGUUUUUCAGUUCAGAGGGUGAGAUUCAGUCUUGCUGAGUUUAUCAGACUUAGUGCAUCUGCCAGCAAAUGUGGAAGGGGCAGAGGUGGGAGUGGGGAGUUGUUUAAGAUAGGGAUAGUAGAAGUUGCAAAUUCAAAUGCAUCAGAGGGUACAGACAAGUUAUGUAAAAAAGCAAAGAUGACCAGAUAAUGAUUCCACAUAAAGGAGGUUGUUGCUAUUCCAUUUCAGUCAUCUCUUGGCAGUUUCUCAGGAGAUAGUGGAAAUUUGCAUUUGAUUGUGUGUGGACAAGACUCGGGAUGAAAUUAACUGCUUACAGUCAUACUUUAGCAAUUUUAGCACUUCAGCUCACAUGAUAUUCCAUUUUAUUGCAUUCUGUAGCUAUUAGCAUUCAGUAUUGUUCUUGCUAGGCCAAACAUUAUGCAAAUCAACAUUAAAAUAGUGAUCCCCAUGUAUUGUAAAGUUCACAGCAGGCAUUACGUGAUCCAUCUACCUUGUAAUUGUCAUUCCAUGGAAACCUGUGGCAACUGCCCUGAGAAACCCUCUUUGCUUUUUAGCAUACAUAUCGCUUUGUUACAAGGGUGACACCCAUAACCAUCCCUACUUACUUUACCUGGAUGAAGUUUUUUUUACAGGAACUUGGAGCCAAGGCAAAAGAGAAGCAUUUAGUCAAUCAAAUGUUUUCCUUUUUGGUGUUUGAUUAGACAUGGUAGAAAGGAUGGGAGAGGUGGAGUGAUUUAUAUCAGAAACUAGGCCAAGUUGGCCAAAUCAGGAUCACUGCUUUCAGCAAGUACCAACUACAUCUUCUUAAAAAUUAAAAAGAAUGAAUUUUGUGCAUUGAUUAGACUGUCACACAGUUUAAGAUGUACACCUUAAGUUAUGUCUGUAAACUAUGUUGAUAACACUCUAAGAUGUAGUUGGGUGACCUGGGUUCUAAUUCCUGGUUCUGUCAUGGAUGACUGACUUUAAAAUGGUCAUUUCAUCUGUUAAUUGGGGUAAAUAAAUAUAUGUUUGCUUGCUUCAGACUGACAUGAUGAAGGUCAAAUGGAUAACAUGUGUGAACUUAGUUUCUGAUUGCUACUCACUCUAUGUAUCUUCAAAUGUAUUCUUUGGCCUUCUGUCUGCAAUAUGGCCUGGUUUUAAGAAAUAGGACUUUGGAUGCCUUUCUUCUCCUCCUCUUUCUCCUCCUUCUCCUUCUCUUCUCCCAGCUUUUAUUAUAUUGCCAAACAGUGGAUAUUUCAUCAGAAAGGCCACCAGUUGGGUCAGUCAAUCUAAAGCAGAGGUCCCCAACCAUUUUGGCACCAGGGACCAGUUUUGUGGAGGAAAAUUUUUCUACAGACCAGGUUGGGGGUGAUGGUUUCAGGAUGAAACGGUUCCACGUCAGAUCGUCAGGCAUUAGUUAGGUUCUCAUAAGGAGCAUGCAACCUAGAUCCCUCAUACAUGCAGUUCACAGUAGGGUUUGA
rnacentral:lncRNA from 10 species